rnacentral:rRNA from 1 species
UCAAAAACGGGAUACCCCUUUUUAGAAUUAUUAAAUUUGAUAAACUUAAUUAUAUUUAUUAAUAUUAAUUAUGGAGCUUAUUGAUUACCAGUUAAAAAUAUUAAUAAACAAUAGAAAUAUUAAAUUAGUUGCAAUUUAAAUUAAGGUUAAUUAGGUGCCAGCAACCGCGGUCAUACCUAAUUAUUUAUAUAAUUAUUUUAAGUGGUUCUUCUAGAGAAAUAAUUAUGUAAAUAUAGUAAAAUACUUUAUUUAAAAAUUCCCUUCUCCUCUAACACUUAAAAAAGUCUUAAGCCAUACCAAAAACUAGGAUUAGAUACCCUAUUAUUAAGGAUUACUUUAACCCACUGAGAAGUAAAAUAACUCAAUAUUGAAACUCAAAAAUCAUGGCGGCUUUUGGAAUUUAUUAGGGGAACUUACCUAUUAAUUGAUAACCACCAAGACACUCAAUAUGCUUCAAAAGUUUGUAUGCCGUCGUCUCUAUAUUUUCUUAGAAAAUAUUAAAAUAUUCUUAAUUUAAUGACAGAUCAAGGUGCAACUAAUAAGUAUAUAAAAGGCGAGUUACAGUAACAACUUACUUCAGAUAAAUAUUUAGAAAAUAUAAUUUAAAGAUGGACUUAAAAGUAAAACUUAAUUUAAAAUUAAAAAUUGAAUUAACAAUCCACUAGUGU